AGUGAACGCUGGCGGUAGGCCUAACACAUGCAAGUCGAACGGCAGCACAGUAAGAGCUUGCUCUUACGGGUGGCGAGUGGCGGACGGGUGAGGAAUACAUCGGAAUCUACUUUUUCGUGGGGGAUAACGUAGGGAAACUUACGCUAAUACCGCAUACGACCUACGGGUGAAAGCAGGGGAUCUUCGGAACUUGCGCGAUUGAAUGAGCCGAUGUCGGAUUAGCUAGUUGGCGGGGUAAAGGCCCACCAAGGCGACGAUCCGUAGCUGGUCUGAGAGGAUGAUCAGCCACACUGGAACUGAGACACGGUCCAGACUCCUACGGGAGGCAGCAGUGGGGAAUAUUGGACAAUGGGCGCAAGCCUGAGCCAGCCAUACCGCGUGGGUGAAGAAGGCCUUCGGGUUGUAAAGCCCUUUUGUUGGGAAAGAAAAGCAGCAGGUUAAUACCCCGCUGUUCUGACGGUACCCAAAGAAUAAGCACCGGCUAACUUCGUGC
rnacentral:rRNA from 1 species